GCAAACUUGGUCAUUUAGAGGAAGUAAAAGUCGUAACAAGGUUUCCGUAGGUGAACCUGCGGAAGGAUCAUUAACGCAUCUCUGGCGGCGAUUGGGCGCGCCCUGCUCCGGACCGAAAGGCCGUGCAGCGGGCCGUCCCGUCCCGCCGAACCUUUGCAAACCCACUUGUGCACUUUUGUCGGCGAAAGGGCCCCAGUGGCCCCGAGCCGGAUCACAAACACUUUUGUUAAACGAAUGCAAGCGGACUUUGAGCCGCCUAAACUUUAACAACUUUCAACAACGGAUCUCUUGGCUCUCGCAUCGAUGAAGAACGCAGC
rnacentral:misc_RNA from 1 species